UACGUAGGGGGCUAGCGUUGUCCGGAAUCAUUGGGCGUAAAGCGCGUGUAGGCGGUCCGGUAAGUCCGCUGUGAAAGUCGGGGGCUCAACCCUCGAAUGCCGGUGGAUACUGUCGGGCUAGAGUGCGGAAGAGGCGAGUGGAAUUCCUGGUGUAGCGGUGAAAUGCGCAGAUAUCAGGAAGAACACCCGUGGCGGAAGGCGGCUCUCUGGGACGGUACUGACGCUGAGGCGCGAAAGCUAGGGGAGCGAACAGG
rnacentral:rRNA from 1 species